rnacentral:rRNA from 1 species
UACGUAGGGGGCUAGCGUUGUCCGGAUUUAUUGGGCGUAAAGGGCGCGUAGGCGGCCCGCUAAGUCGAACGUGAAAUCCCCGAGCUCAACUCGGGAACUGCGUCCGAUACUGGCGGGCUUGAAUCCGGGAGAGGGAUGCGGAAUUCCAGGUGUAGCGGUGAAAUGCGUAGAUAUCUGGAGGAACACCGGUGGCGAAGGCGGCAUCCUGGACCGGCAUUGACGCUGAGGCGCGAAAGCGUGGGGAUCAAACAGG